GCACCAGAGUGAUCCAGCUCAGUUGGUAGGGCAUGAGACUCUGCAACCCAUCUGGGUUGUGGGUUUGAGCCCCACUUUGGGCA